GAAUGUGCUUUUCGUACACUGUGUUUGGUUUGUUCAGUGGUUACCGCGGCUGGAUUGCGCGGACAGCAGACGACUAUAAACAAUUUAGUAUGGCAAUCGUCCUGAUGAUGUGGGCCGCUUUUUAUUACUGUUUUGUUAUAGCAGUUUUGUGGAAUGGACAUUCAAUGAGAAACGAGGGAAAAUUUACCGGAAUCCUGUUGCACCGAACCAUCAACAAAUGUUUUAAUGCUGAAAUCGUUGGAAGGCUGCUAGCAUUUUCACAACAAUUAAACCACAGAAUUCCCGAUGCAAACUGCAACUUGUUUUCGUUUGACUGGACACUGUUUCAUUCGAUGGUUGCAGCUACAGCGACAUAUUUGAUUAUUCUAAUACAGUUUGAUGCAUCUGGAUAUUAUCCGGGUGAUCGCAAUGCCACCAAUGCAUCGUUAAGGAACUGAAUAAAACGAAGUAAGAUUUUCAAAAAAUGCGUUGAAUCAACCAAAUUUUACUGAUUGGAG